AAGCCAGCUCUCUGUUACGUAAUACUGUUUUCCUCUCCUUCCCUACCUAAGGUCACUCUGCCAUGUGCACACUCUGCCCUUCCCUAGAGAGCUUGGUGCAUGAAGAACCUUUGGAAAACUGAUUAGGGCAGCACAGCGUUUUAGGAACGUCUGUGGAAGCCAUCACGAGCCAUCUCUUUGCUGAAGACGGGUGCUGUUUUUAACCAGCGUUUGGGUACAGCAGGUUACAGCUGUUGGAUUUAUUGAGAAAAUGUAUUGUCAUAUGGAAUAGCCUCAUUUAUUUUGACAAAAACAAGUCUUCAUGCUGUAAUGGUCUUGUUAAGCUUCUCUGCUGUGAUGAAUCUACUACAGGAUCUUUCCAUCAUGCCAUGGUGGUUUGGAAGCUUUUGCACCCUGGCAGGACCAGCCAACUGAUGCUGGCAGCUCAAACUGGCCUGCUGUGGCUGGGUGAUUUGUAGCAGCACCACAGCCAGGAGUGGUGGUGAGCUGCACCCAGUUUGAUUGAAGAUUUUUUUCCUGCGUGGUGAGAAAGGGUAGCCUCACCCAGCAAAAAAUAAAUUACAUCUCAUGUGAAUUUUAUUAGCCAUUAUUUUUGCCUGGAAAAGAAUACAAGAGCUAAGAAAAAUUAACCGGAGACAUUUGAUUGUAAUUGGGACAUGUGACAGCAAAACAGUCACUCCUAUUACAGCAGACAGUUAAAAAUACAUAUUUUUAUCACCUCAUGUUGAAUUGAACAUCCUCAGAUCCAUGACAAAUGCACAGUUGGAAAUGAGGGGUGACAGGCUGACCAGUUUCUUCCACCCAUGGUUAUUUUUCUCCUAGGAAUGUGGCUGAAAACCUUUCAGGAACCAUGCAGCAUCACUAUUCCUCAGCAAAAAGCAGAAUUUCUGCCAUGCUGGAGACUUCAAACAGCCCCACAAACUGCUAAUGCACCUGCCUAGCAGUGUGCUGAAAUGGCAGUAAUGAAUAAUAAAUGCUGCUGCCUCCUUCAUAACAUUACCAAACCCUUCUUUUCUUUAGGAAGGUUUACAAAAUCCUAAGUCAUCCUGUGCCCAGACUGGCCAGAAAAAUACCUUACAUAGGUUACAACAGAACCCUUUGUGUUGUAACAAAGGUCUCAAUUUUUUUUCCUGUUUGCCUUGGACUUCCCAGUCAUUUGUAUUUAUUUAUAAGUGACUUCCAGCUGUACCCCUGACAAAAAUUCACUGAUGUAAAGGCUUGAUAGAUAAGGUUCUGGGCAUCACAUUUGCUUAAAUUUGUAAAGCUCACCUGUAUGAGAAGUGUGUCUAUAAAGGAAAAAUCCUAGGAAUGUAUAAAACUUGUUUUUGUAAAAUUUGAAUUGAUCAAGUCUGUUGGCCACUGGGUUGAUCAGUGAUCUUCUGGAGCAACAAUUUUGGUUUCUUUUCCCAGUCUUAAUGUUGAGGAACUUGGUUACAUUUUGAAUUUCAGCUUUGUUAAGUACUUUCAAACUUAAUAGUAAGGUGUUAUUUGUGGCUACAGCCAUUACAAGGCAGAUUACUUUGCAAACACUCAGGAAAUUCCUAAUUCAUGGGUGAAAGGAAGGAAAGAGGAGAAAAAAAUUACAAUUAAGCCAGAUCUAAGUAACAUACCAAGGAAAGGUCUGUAAGAGAAUUCCCUCAGGGAGGGAGCAAGGCUGGUGCCUGGAUGUCCUUCCAGGGCUUCAGCAGGAAUGGAUCAUUCAUGGCAAGUCUGUCUGGUGGAGAGAACACGGGACUGCCUUCCCCAGUGGAAAAUCUCUGUAAUUCUGUCAGGCACUGUGUCACCUGUAAUUAUGGCCCUGUGCUCUUUUAUUAAUUUCUAUUCCUGCUUUACUUUGCUUGUGCCCAACCACAUCCACAUUAUGAUGCAAAAUCACCAGCAGCAUGAAGGCCAAGUUCCAAGUAAGUGUUCCUAAGGGAGUUUUUGUCCUACCUGUUCAAAUCACGAGUCAGGGAAAAAAAAAAAGAAAACUUGAAUUCAAAACAUUAAUUUAGCAUGUUGGUACAGAUCUGGAUUCAUUAAUAAAAUACAAACUUGCUGAUGACCAAACUGGUGCAAAUUUAGGUUUCGUUUACCCAUGUGAGAGGUUUAUUUCUUCCUGUGCCUCUCUUGGAAUUUCCCAUGGACUAAAAUUCCCAGAAUAAGCACGGCUGUAAUGCAACUCUGCAUCAAACAAACUGAAGUUUGUAUGUAUUUCCAAAGAAAAUAAACAU